UUACACAUCCAACGGUUAUAAAAAAAAAAAAAUUAUGAAAUUGAAAUCAGCCAAUUUCCCGCCCAAAAGCUAUACAGCUUAUACAGGCUAUACAGCAACCAGUUAUACACUCUCACUCAGCCUCAUACUCACCCACUUCUCUUCCACCGAACGCACCCUCACCGGCAACCCAAUCCCAUCAGCGACCUACAGUCGACAGUUACCCACUCCCGACGACGACCGAUCGAGGUGUCUGCUUCGCAAACUAUAGCCCUCACGCUCUUCUCCUCCACCUGACCGACCCCUCAUUCUCUUUGCCCUCACAUCGCGAACCCAUUGCUCCGUUGUGAGCAAACCAGUCCGACAUCAAUCAUCCACAGACAUUCCCUCUGUUGCUGAAAUGUAGCUCAAAGUGCUAUCCCUCUGUUGCUGAAAUGUUGCUCAAAGUGCUGUUCCUUUGUUGCUGAAAUGUUGCUCAAACUGCUUUCCCUCUGUUGCUGAAAUGUUGUUUUUUUUUUUAUGUUGUUGAAAUUGUUGUAAACAUGUAUGAAGUUGAUUUUGUUCUUGUUUUGUGUGUGAACAUGUAUGAGGUUGAAUUUGGUGUGAAUAGAUUAAUGUUGGAGGUUGAAACUUGCUAUGAAAUUGAAUAGAUUAUGAUGGAGGUUGAAAUUGAAA